AACGAACGCUGGCGGCAGGCUUAACACAUGCAAGCCGAGCGCCCCGCAAGGGGAGCGGCAGACGGGUGAGUAACGCGUGGGAAUCUACCGUGCCCUGCGGAAUAGCUCCGGGAAACUGGAGUCAAUACCGCAUACGCCCUUUGGGGGAAAGAUUUAUCGGGGUAUGAUGAGCCCGCUUUGGAUUAGCUAGUUGGUGGGGUAAAGGCCUACCAAGGCGACGAUCCAUAGCUGGUCUGAGAGGAUGAUCAGCCACAUUGGGACUGAGACACGGCCCAAACUCCUACGGGAGGCAGCAGUGGGGAAUAUUGGACAAUGGGCGCAAGCCUGAUCCAGCCAUGCCGCGUGAGUGAUGAAGGCCCUAGGGUUGUAAAGCUCUUUCACCGGUGAAGAUAAUGACGGUAACCGGAGAAGAAGCCCCGGCUAACUUCGUGCCAGCAGCCGCCGUAAGAC
rnacentral:rRNA from 1 species